GGAAUAACUGCGGGAAACUGUAGCUAAUACCGUAUACUCCAGUAAUGGGAAAGAUUUAUCGCUAUAAGAUUGGCCCGCGCAAGAUUAGCUUGUUGGUGAGGUAAAAGCUCACCAAGGCUUCGAUCUUUAGCUGGUUUGAGAGGACGAUCAGCCACACUGGGACUGAGACACGGCCCAGACUCCUACGGGAGGCAGCAGUAGGGAAUAUUGGACAAUGGGGGCAACCCUGAUCCAGCAAUGCAGCGUGAGUGACGAAGGCCUUAGGGUUGUAAAACUCUUUCAUCGGUGAGG
rnacentral:rRNA from 1 species